AUCACCUGGAAGGACAGGUAGGAGCACUGGGUGAGUGUCUCCCGGGAACACUGGGGUGCCAAAGGACUCCCAGAAAAUGGGGACUUAGCAGAUGCCGGGAGAGGUGCCAUAGCCCCUGAGAAUGGCAGAUUUGGGGUGGGGGUCCUUCUGGCCGGGGCUGAAGCUGGCUGUGGCUUGAAGACCCAGUGGCUCUUGGGCCGUGAUCUAGAUGAGUAACUUCCCAACCCUGCCCUCCUCUGUGUCCUUCUGUGACCAGACGUGCUGUAUCAAAGUCUUGGAUACAAAGAUCAACUCUACUCUGUGCCACCCUCAAGGACAACAGCGAUUAGCUCUUUGGGGACCCCACUCCCCAACCCAUAUCCCAGGAGAGAGAACAUUUCAGGUCCCCCAGCCUCACCAGAGAGCUCGUGUAGGUGGGGUCAGAAGAGUUCUCCUCCAGGAAGCGGGAAAGCCCGAAGUCGGAAACCUUGCAGACAAGGUUGCUGUUGACCAGGAUAUUACGGGCAGCCAGGUCUCGGUGGACGUAGCUCAUCUCAGCCAGGUACCGCAUGCCUGAGGCGAUGCCCCGCAACAUGCCCACCAGCUGGAUGACGGUGAACUGCCCGUCGUUCAGCUGGAGACCAGACGAGGGAGAGGGCACCAUCAGGCCAGCGCACCUGCCAUCCCCCCUUCCUUCCGCUGACCUCCCAGGCUCCGCGCCCAGGACAGAGCCCAGUGCAGGGCUUGAACUCAGGAUCCUGAGAUCAAGACCUGAGCCGAGAUCAAGAGUCAGAUACUUAACUGAUUGAGCAGCCCAGGCGCCCCUACUAUGUUCUUUUUAUUUGGAGGCAACAGAGUGGCGACAGUUGAGGUGUGCCCUAAACUACCUGUCUACAGGUGCAGAUGCACUUGUGCUGACCCAAAGAAAGCUUGCUCAGCCCUCUUGGACCAGCUGUGUGUAGCCUGCAACACAGCAGUGAAAAACUGGGUGCGAUCAAUGAACACGGCGCCAAAGCCAAGACCUAAAGCCUGACCUUGACCUUUACAGAGUCUGCUCUCACUGGAUCAGCCAAACAGUUACAGUGGACAAAUCCCAUCCUCUGGAUUCAGCAAGCACGCAGGGGACCCUUGGCAGCCAUGUAGGGCCAGGGCCAGAGUCCAAACCCUGAAUUCUGAACCCUCCUCUAAGCCUGCCCCUGUCCCACACCUCAAAACUCAGCUUGCAGAAACGCCGCUGGCCAGAUGCUCGGGGCAGACGCCAGGGUUCUCUGCGAUUCCUCUCUUCCUCACCUGCCACUUACAAUCCAUCAGCAGGUUCUGCUGGCCCUGCCUCCAAACCACGUCCCGAAUCCAGCCACUUCUCCCCAUCCUGCUGCAACUGCUGUGCCCCAAAGGAGUGCGAGUCUCCCCACUGGCUCUUGGCUCUUGGCUCUUGCCUCCCAGCACACCAAAGGGAGCUCCUAAAGUCACCUCUCUUGCCGAAAUCCCUCCAAAGGCUUCCCCUUGAACUUCUAAUCAAAUCCAAACUCCUUACUAAGGCCAUGAGGCCCACGUGCUUCUCCUCCAUCUGCUCCUGGCUGGCUCUCUCUCAUCUACCCAAAUGUCAGCCCAAAUGUCCUCUCUUCUUCUUCUUCUUUUUUAAAUGUAAUCUCUACACCCAACGUGGAGCUUGAACUCACAACCUCGAGAUCAAGAGUCGCAUGCUCCACCGACUGAGCCAGCCAGGCACCCCAAAUGUCAUCUCUUCUAAAAUAGACCCUCCCUCCCUCUCUUGGCAACCAGACCUUUGUAUGGUACCAAGGAACAGAAGCUUGUGUCCACAAGGAAGGGUCAGGCCGCCAUCACACUACCCCAAGGCCUGCCUCAGCAUCUCUCCUGAUGAGAGCCAGAUAGCCUGUCUCUGGAUGGGGUGUCAUGUAAGGUACACAGCACCCCCGAUGUAGGCUGGCCACACGUAUUUACUUUUAAACUUAUCAGAACAUUAAAUCUAUCUUCUCUUAAAGGAAGUGGAGAAACAAUGACCUCAUAGGGAAGAAGCUGAUAAAUCCAGAAGGUGAGACAUUCAAAGGAAUAAGAGGCCCAGCUUUUCAGAAUGUCAGUGUGUCACAACAAAGAAUGGUCCUGGAUUUAGAAGAGGCUCAAAAAAAUAACCACCAGGAAAAACAAAACACAAUAAAACAAACAAACAAAACCACUAAGUGCAAUGCUUGAACUAGAUCCUGGUUUGGAGGAACCAGGAGGAAGGAGACAUCUGGGGGACACCUAGGGAAAUGUGAAUAUUGACUGGGUACCGGAUGAUCCCGAGGAAGCAUCAUAAUUCUGUUAAAUGCAAUAUCUUGCUCUGUAGGAAAAUGCAUUUUUUCCCCCAAAAAAGAUGUAAAAUUAAAAAAUAAAAUAAAAUCCAGUGAAGCCUGUUAAAGUGAUGAAAAUUAAAAGAAA